rnacentral:rRNA from 1 species
UAGUCCACGCCGUAAACGAUGAGAACUAGAUGUCGGGAGAAUCUGUCUUUCGGUGUCUCAGCUAACGCGUUAAGUUCUCCGCCUGGGGAGUACGCCGGCAACGGUAAAACUCAAAGGAAUUGACGGGGACCCGCACAAGCGGUGGAGCAUGUGGUUUAAUUCGAUGCAACGCGAAGAACCUUACCUGCCCUUGACAUUGACAGAAUCCUGUAGAGAUACGGGAGUGCUUCGGCCUGGAAAACAGGUGCUGCAUGGCUGUCGUCAGCUCGUGUCGUGAGAUGUUGGGUUAAGUCCCGCAACGAGCGCAACCCUUGUCCUUAGUUGCCAUCAUUUAGUUGGGCACUCUAGGGAGACUGCCGGUGUUAAGCCGGAGGAAGAUGGGGAUGACGUCAAGUCCUCAUGGCCCUUAUAUCCAGGGGCUACACACGUGCUACAAUGGCCGGUACAAA